rnacentral:rRNA from 1 species
CGAGAAGGGAUCUUCGGAUCCCGAGUAGAGUGGCGCACGGGUGAGUAACACGUGGAUAACCUGCCCUAUGGUCUGGGAUAACACUUCGAAAGGGGUGCUAAUACCGGAUAAGCCUACGACUUCCUCGGAGGAUGUAGGAAAAGAUUUAUUGCCAUAGGAUGGGUCCGCGGUCCAUUAGCUAGUUGGUGGGGUAAUGGCCUACCAAGGCUACGAUGGAUAGCUGGUCUGAGAGGAUGGUCAGCCACACUGGGACUGAGACACUGCCCAGACUCCUACGGGAGGCUGCAGUCGAGAAUCAUUCGCAAUGCACGAAAGUGUGACGAUGCGACGCUGCGUGUAGGAUGACGGCCUUAGGGUUGUAAACUACUGUCAUUUGGGAAAAAUUCUUCGUGUAGUAAUAUUACAUGGAGUUGAUGGUACCAAAAGAGGAAGCCACGGCUAACUCUGUGCCAGCAGCCGCGGUAAUACAGAGGUGGCGAGCGUUGUUCGGAUUUACUGGGCGUAAAGGGUGCGUAGGUGGUUAUGUAUGUCGGAUGUGAAAGCCCAUGGCUCAACCGUGGAAUUGCAUUCGAAACUGCAAAACUUGAGUGUAGGAGAGGAGAGCGGAAUUCUUGGUGUAGCGGUGAAAUGCGUUGAUAUCAAGAAGAACACCGGCGGCGAAGGCGGCUCUCUGGAAUACAACUGACACUGAGGCACGAAAGCUGGGGGAGCGAACAGGAUUAGAUACCCUGGUAGUCCCAGCCGUAAACGGUGCACACUUGGUGUGGGAGGAAUUGACCCCUUCCGUGCCGGAGCUAACGC